UACGUAGGGUGCGAGCGUUAAUCGGAAUUACUGGGCGUAAAGCGUGCGCAGGCGGUUAUGUAAGACAGAUGUGAAAUGCCCGGGCUUAACCUGGGAACUGCAUUUGUGACUGCAUGGCUAGAGUGUGUCAGAGGGGGGUAGAAUUCCACGUGUAGCAGUGAAAUGCGUAGAUAUGUGGAGGAAUACCGAUGGCGAAGGCAGCCCCCUGGGAUAACACUGACGCUCAUGCACGAAAGCGUGGGGAUCAAACAGG
rnacentral:rRNA from 1 species